rnacentral:rRNA from 1 species
CUCCCAACAAUUAAAAGGAGCAGGUAUCAAGCACACUAAAACAGUAGCUCACAACACCUUGCUCAACCACACCCCCACGGGAAACAGCAGUGACAAAAAUUAAGCAAUAAAUGAAAGUUUGACUAAGUUAUACUAAAUAGGGUUGGUAAAUUUCGUGCCAGCCACCGCGGUCAUACGAUUAACCCAAAUUAAUAGAACCUCGGCGUAAAGCGUGUCAAAGACAUCAACCUUAAAUAAAGUUAAAAUAUAAUUAAGCUGUAAAAAGCUACAACAAAAACAAAAUAAACUACGAAAGUGACUUUAGUAUGUUCA